UACGUAGGAGGCAAGCGUUGUUCGGAAUUACUGGGCGUAAAGGGCGCGUAGGCGGCCUUCUAAGUCGAACGUGAAAUCCCCGGGCUCAACCCGGGAACUGCGUCCGAUACUGGAAGGCUUGAAUCCGGGAGAGGGAUGCGGAAUUCCAGGUGUAGCGGUGAAAUGCGUAGAUAUCUGGAGGAACACCGGUGGCGAAGGCGGCAUCCUGGACCGGCAUUGACGCUGAGGCGCGAAAGCCAGGGGAGCAAACGGG
rnacentral:rRNA from 1 species